UACGUAGGGGGCAAGCGUUGUCCGGAAUUAUUGGGCGUAAAGAGCGUGUAGGCGGCCAGAUAAGUCCGCUGUGAAAUCUCGAGGCUCAACCUCCAGACGUCGAUGGAAACCGUCUGGCUAGAGUCCGGAAGAGGAGAGUGGAAUUCCUGGUGUAGCGGUGAAAUGCGCAGAUAUCAGGAAGAACACCCGUGGCAAAAGCGGCUCUCUGGGACGGUACUGACGCUGAGACGCGAAAGCGUGGGGAGCGAACAGG
rnacentral:rRNA from 1 species